CACUGUGCCCAGCAGCACACUGUGACUUUACAAUGGCUGGCUCACUGAGUCUGCAUCGGGAAACUGAGAAGAUGGGGUCAAAAGAGAUGAUGACCCUAAUGCCGUCCAGCCAGCAGAAGUCAGAGUCAGAAUUUGAGCCCAGACAGUCUGAUGAGAGUCUCCUAACCACAGACACCAACUGCCUCUCAGAUGAGACUAUAUGGGAUAAAAGAAAAGUCCUCCCCCAAGGCCGUGAAUUGGGGAAAAAUGAGAAUGACGGCACCGAGCAUGGAAGGAGUGGAUUCUCUGUGCUUAGGACAUGGGGAAUUAUAUAACUCCUCAGUAAUUACACAACCUUUCAAAGGCUCAGAUGAAGGUUUUCCCAUCAAAUGGAUGCAACCACAUUGGAGAAUUUGGAACCAAACUUCUGAGUGGUUUCUGCCUUUAUGGAUGCGGCCUGCAGUUCUGGCUGGUGGCCACGAGGGUUCCCUGGGCAGGAGACAUGAUAGGAUUUCACACGGUACUUUGAGCUCCUGGAUCAGAGUCCCCAGAGCUUGCCAUGUGGGAUGGAGCCUCGGCAAGGAGCAUUUAUUGCCCUCCCUCCCUGGAGAUCCAUCUGUUUGCCAAGGCCUUUCCA
rnacentral:lncRNA from 1 species